rnacentral:lncRNA from 1 species
CUGCGGGUUGGGGUAAGGUGCUGCUAGCCAACUUAACUGUAGGCUUUGUGUUGUUGUAAUUGUACCAGUAAUAUAUUUAUAGGUUUCUUAUGUUUAAUGCUUUAUAAAAUUUCUUAACUUUACAAACCCUAGCCGUCUCACUCCCAUUUCAUUUCAGAUCUCAAACACUUCUUCCAUCCGCUGCUUCCUCAGUCUCUCUCUCUCCCUCUCCCUCUCCUUCCUCUCUUCCUCCAAAUCACUUUCUCUCUAGUCUUCUCAUGUCCUCCUCACGGAUUCCUUCUUCCAAAUCAUGAUUUUCCCUCGCCCCUUUCGAGACCCGACGAAAAGAGGAACUGUUAGAGCUUGCGAUGAUUAUGGCGAUUUCGCCACAGCAAAGGUUGUGGGUUUUAUUUAAUUGUCAGUUCAUGGGUUUUUAAUUUUAUGAUCAUGGCGAUUUUAUGGUUACCCAUUUGAAAUUUAUGUAAUUUAAGGUGAAAAAGUUUGUAUUUUUCUUUUAAUAUGUUUCGGAAUUUUCUAGAUCUAUUGUGGACUUGACUAGGAAUUUGAAUGUGGGCACUGGGCAUGCGAUAUUGGAGUCCGAUUAUGACAUUUAGACGAACCUAUUUGCUUUUUUUUUUGUUUCGAUCUGCAUCUUAAUUUGUUGAAUUAUUUCAUGAUUUUGUAAAUUUUAAAUUUUUAGAAUUUUGAAUCCUGGCGAUGUACUUGAAGAAUAUAUGUUUCUGUAUUUGCUUAAGUUUUGAAAAAUUUGAACUCGAUAUGCUUGAUCAUAAGUAGUUGAAUUACUUGAAUAUAUUCGGGAUUUUGAGGUGAGAAAAUGUAUAUGUUUGGUUUGUGAGAAAAUGCAUGAAGGUGAAAGGUUAGGUAGUACCUAAAAUUGCUGAGUUCAAGUUUUUCGGUUUGUUGUAAAGUUUUAGCAAAGACCCAUUGGGAUUUUCAUAUGGUUCUUCCUCUGUGUAGUCUUAAAAAGGGAAUUAAAUUCUUUUGCGUCUCUUAUUUUGUUUAUGAUGGAAUAGUUGUAUGAUUUGUACUUUUGGAGAAGAAAAGAUUGGGAAGAGGCUAGAAAAGUCUUAACUAAAGGAUUAGAGAUUUGUGAUGUAGAAGAGGUAAUGGAAGACGAUGCUGGGCGGAGCAGGCUCCAUUGAUAUAUGAGAACUGGGAGAUUUAUUCCUUCCAUUUACAUCAUUAAAAAAAAAAAAAACCGAAAAAAAUCGAAACCGAACCGGAAAA